GACGAACGCUGGCGGCGUGCUUAACACAUGCAAGUCGAGCGGAAAGGCCCCUUCGGGGGUACUCGAGCGGCGAACGGGUGAGUAACACGUGAGUAAUCUGCCCUUCACUUUGGGGUAACCCCCGGAAACGGGAGCUAAUACCGGAUACGACCAUUCCACGCAUGUGGUGGUGGUGGAAACUUUUUGGGUGGGGGAUGUGCUCGCGGCCUAUCAGCUUGUUGGUGGAGUAAUGGCCUACCAAGGCUUUGACGGAUAGCCAGCCUGAGAGGGUGACCGGCCACACUGGGACUGAGACACGGCCCAGACUCCUACGGGAGGCAGCAGUGGGGAAUAUUGGACAAUGGGCGGAAGCCUGAUCCAGCAACGCCGCGUGAGGGAUGACGGCCUUCGGGUUGUAAACCUCUUUCAGCACCGACGAAGCGCAAGUGACGGUAGGUGCAGAAGAAGCCCCGGCUAACUCCGUGCCAGCAGCCGCAGUAACAC
rnacentral:rRNA from 1 species